CAAAGAUCUGAGAUGCCUGUGUGGUAGAGCAUACUUACCCGUCUGGAAUAAUAAAAUGUUUGAUUUAUAUUACUACAUGUGUUCAGUGUUUUUAAUUUUACGAUAAAUAAUAUCAGCUUAAUAUGUGCAAUAAAUACACAAACAGGUUACAACUUUUAAUAUUCGAGUAUUUCCUUUAUGGCCAGCUAUAGUUUAGGUUGGUUACGGAUUGUUUUUCAUGGUUCAUCGGUUCGUUUCUUAAUUAUUGGUCACAUGACAGUUCUUGGUCAGUGUAAGAUUCAGUUUGAAUUUAGAAAUUGAAUUGGGCAGUUGUGUCAUACUUUAGUUAAAAACUUUGGACAUUUGGACUUACAGACUACAAUCUACUAAUCAGAUAUACACCAGAUCUACACAUUACUAUAGAUCCAUCCGGAUUCUAAUACCACAUAUUUGAAUCUUUUGGAUGAUAUUUAUCGGAUAACAUUUGGAUGAUCUGUGAAUGAUGUUAUUCUGAUCGAUUGUGAUAAAUAAACCUUGUGACCGGUAUGCUUGUUUGAGUUAUCACCCGGUAACACUAGCUGAAUGCUGAUAGAACCCAGGACUA